rnacentral:rRNA from 1 species
UACGUAGGGGGCAAGCGUUGUCCGGAUUUAUUGGGCGUAAAGAGCGUGUAGGCGGCUUGGUAGGUCCGCUGUGAAAACUCGAGGCUCAACCUCGAGAUGUCGGCGGAAACCACUUGGCUAGAGUCCGGAAGAGGAGAGUGGAAUUCCCGGUGUAGCGGUGAAAUGCGCAGAUAUCGGGAAGAACACCUAUGGCGAAGGCAGCUCUCUGGCCUGUAACUGACGCUGAGGCGCGAAAGCUAGGGGAGCAAACGGG